UCUUGCUCAUCUCCCUCAUUAAUGAGUUCAUUGUGUGAUGUUUUGGGAAAUUGGGAAUUUGGAAUCGGAAGUCAAAUACAUUCAAUUUGUUCUUAAUUCACUCUCAUCUCAAACACUCGUUUUCUUUUUUUCCAUUAUAAAUUUGGAAUUGGAGGUAUCCAUACUCCCAGUAGCUCUUAAAAACAGCGAUUCUUAGCCUCAAUUGGCCUCUCAAUGUAAAAUAUCAGGGAACCGUUAAGCAGGUUUGGAACUCAACUUUUGGGGAUUAACGCGCUGGCGUUAAUUAUUUCUUUUGAAAGAUGUUUAUGCAUUUAUCUUUUGAGUAUGUAAUGAAUACAAUGAUGUAAACAUUUUAAAAACCUUUAUAUAUGUAUGGUGGUGUGUA